AACGAUCUUUCCAAAAUCUCUU
rnacentral:snRNA from 1 species